UGUUAUCUGCAGUCAGCACACCUGUCUGCCAUCAAGUUAUCUCCUCUUCACUACAAGAAACCUACACCAACAGCCAGUCAGUGCCAGAUUGUUGUGCCAUACACGGAAUAUCUGUCUGCCUACUCACCUCACCUGCCAGCUCUCAUUCUCAGGAUACCCUCUGCCAAGCCUUCUUCCCUGGAUACCCUUCUCAGCCAAUACCCUGGCCUGUCUUCAUCUCACUGUACCUGUUAAUUGUCUAAAUAAAAUACUUUUUUUUCACCUA